rnacentral:lncRNA from 1 species
UUUCUGCCAUCUAAUCCUCGGAAAUAUCUAAAAUAUAGGGAAGAAAUAAUAAAUGGGUCUACGGUACGUACCGCAAUGGUACUGUGCGUUAUACAACAGUGAUUACUUCGUAGUUAGGUAUGAAAUGACCAGCACUGCGUGUACUCUGGAGCAACAUACCUCAGCCUUGGACAGGCAAAAUCAUGGACGAUAGGGUUUCAUUAAUUGUGCAUGAGGCGUUCGAUCUCAAUGUGGUUUUCGGUUUUAGAUGAGAUCGCAUUUGUAUGCAUAGACUUCAUAGAUUCCAAUGCAGGGAAAAGACUAUCUCAGGUGUGGCGCCUGCAUUAUCUUCUGAACCUCUGAAUUAUAACACGAUAGUUCCACUUUCUGCGACAAACGCUCCACUCGUAGAUCUUUUGUAGCAUGACUCGGCUCGGAGUGGAGCUAAAAGAGAAUCUCUCUUGUUCCUCUUUUCAAGCCCAGUAGGCAGAAUGAUUUGUCAAAUCUAAAGUUAAAGUGGUUAAGUUUCAUCCACAACAUUGGGACCUUGGCUUUCCUUCAGCGAUUGCAUCGUUGCAGUUCUAGCUCGAUCUGUUUCGUCAAUUCUCGGCGCUGAGCAGGCCGAUGUUCGGUGUAUAUUCGGCACCAAUAAUACCAUUUAAAUCGAUUGAAAGACCUCAAACAUUCUAAGACAUCAUUGUAGGAUUGAAGCAGAUCUAGUUUACUAGGAUCAUCCCUGUAACAAAUAGCCAGCAAGCUGGGCUGUUGUAAGCUGCUCACUAUCAUUGAAGACAAUGCACUUAACCUAGCAGAAUUGUGCUUCCAAUUCGCUUUCUUCGACUCGUGUUUGAAUGAACGGUCGUCGCUGCUCAUGUUAUGUCAGAUGACGUUCGAUAACACCGACUCAUCAAAGAGUAGAAAAAGUAAAUCUAAUCAGGAUCCCACCAGACGUCACCAUUGGACACGAAGGUCAAUGCUCAGGGGCAUUAAUAUAUAAUGAUAGUUGUACCAAAAAAUACGAAUAAUGAACCGGCCUUUAGGGGACGGAUGACCCGUUUAGUUCGAUCUGUCGGGAAUCCAGGCUGGUCCCCCGGAGAUACUACAUGGGUGGAUUUCGUGGCUGGCUUAUAAUGACAAGUAGCUCAUGUCAAUACAGCGUAGGUGAAGAUCCGGGUGGCUUGAUAAUCUGCAAUAGGCAUAAGCUCAAGGGUAUUUAUGUAACAAAACCCUGACUAGCCACGGCGAUUGGCCAGACUCGUAAGCGCAUGUCGGACUCGGUUAGGUCAUCUUCACACAACAAAGGGUAGAGACUCCUGCUUCUUAACAUGGAGUAUUAAGGAAGGGAUGUGGAAGGAACAUCGGAUCAGAAGUUCCAUCGGUCUUAGCGCACAAAACAUACGAGGUACUCCGUACUCGAAAAGAAAAGCAAAGUGACACCGUGGACAAGCGUAUUCCAAGCGAGAGGCGAAUGUCAUGCAAGUUGAUGACGAGAACAAUGCCAUAUGCAAGAAAUACCAAUUCGUGGCUUUGAGAACCUGUGCGGCAUGCCUCGUAAAGCUAAAUGGCGGGCAAGCUCCAAUUGCAACCAUGUGGACUCAUGAUUUGCGGAGCUGGGGAA